rnacentral:rRNA from 1 species
CAAUAGCGUAUAUUUAAGUUGUUGCAGUUAAAAAGCUCGUAGUUGGAUUUCGGUUGAGAGCGGCCGGUCCGCCGUUUCGGUGUGCACUUGCUACGCCCACCUUGCUGCCGGGGACGUGCUCUUGAGUUCACGCUCGGGACACGGAGUCGGCGAGGUUACUUUGAGUAAAUUAGAGUGUUCAAAGCAGGCCUACGCUCUGAAUACAUUAGCAUGGAAUAACACGAUAGGACUCUGGCCUAUCUUGUUGGUCUGUAGGACCGGAGUAAUGAUUAAGAGGGACAGUCGGGGGCAUUCGUAUUUCAUUGUCAGAGGUGAAAUUCUUGGAUUUAUGAAAGACGAACUACUGCGAAAGCAUUUGCCAAGGAUGUUUUCAUUAA